CAAUUACUCCCUCUGUUCCAAAUUUCUUGUCUUAGAUUUGUCUAGAUACGGAUGUAUCUAAUACUAAAAUGUGACUUGAUACAUCCGUAUCUAGACAAAUCUAAGACAAGAAUUUUGGGACGGAGGGAGUACUUU
rnacentral:pre_miRNA from 1 species